UCUGUGUCUCCCUGCUUAGCUACAUGCUGUCUUUGCUGCUUGUUUCUUAUCUUUUUGGCUUUCUGCCACAGUUCUCCAUUCACUGCUGCAGAGCGGAAG